rnacentral:tRNA from 2 species
GGGGAUGUGGCGGAACUGGCAGACGCGCAGGUCUCAGAAGCCUGUGAUGGUGACAUCGUGGAGGUUCAAGUCCUCUCAUCCCCACCA